rnacentral:rRNA from 1 species
AUGCACGCUGGCGGCGUGCUUAACCCCUGCACGUCGAACGGAAAGGCCAGUGCUUGCACUGGUACUCGAGUGGCGAACGGGUGAGUAACACGUGGGUGAUCUGCCCUGCACUUCGGGAUAAGCCUGUGAAACUGGGUCUAAUACCGGAUAGGACAAUGGUUUGGAUGCCGUUGUGGAAAGUUUUUUCGGUGUGGGAUGAGCUCGCGGCCUAUCAGCUUGUUGGUGGGGUAAUGGCCUACCAAGGCGUCGACGGGUAGCCGGCCUGAGAGGGUGUACGGCCACAUUGGGACUGAGAUACGGCCCAGACUCCUACGGGAGGCAGCAGUGGGGAAUAUUGCACAAUGGGCGCAAGCCUGAUGCAGCGACGCCGCGUGGGGGAUGACGGCCUUCGGGUUGUAAACUCCUUUCGCUAGGGACGAAGCGUAUUUGUGACGGUACCUGGAGAAGAAGCACCGGCUAACUACGUG